GACGAACGCUGGCGGCGUGCUUAACACAUGCAAGUCGAACGGUAAGGCCCUUCGGGGUACACGAGUGGCGAACGGGCGAGUAACACGUGGGUGAUCUGCCCUGCACUUCGGGAUAAGCCUGGGAAACUGGGUCUAAUACCGGAUAGGACCAUUGCCUGCAUGGGUGGUGGUGGAAAGCUUUUGCGGUGUGGGAUGGGCCCGCGGCCUAUCAGCUUGUUGGUGGGGUGAUGGCCUACCAAGGCGACGACGGGUAGCCGGCCUGAGAGGGUGACCGGCCAAACUGGGACUGAGAUACGGCCCAGACUCCUACGGGAGGCAGCAGUGGGGAAUAUUGCACAAUGGGCGCGAGCCUGAUGCAGCGACGCCGCGUGAGGGAUGACGGCCUUCGGGUUGUAAACCUCUUUCAGCACCGACGAAGCGCAAGUGACGGUAGGUGCAGAAGAAGGACCGGCCAACUACGUGCCAGCCGCCGCCGUAA
rnacentral:rRNA from 1 species